UGACUUCAUCACUAGUAAAUGAUCUCUGUCCAUAUAAAUAUAACAUUAGGUUUCUCUUGCUGGCUACUAGAGGGUUACUUUUGUUCUAGCUUAAAAUGCGCAUGAUUCUGAAUCUUCUGGUCUUCCCAGUUCACUAGCUAAGUACACUUUUCCUGCAUCUGACUCUCCCAAACAAUGAAUCUACCACUCUCUCUUUAUAGCAGGAUGCGAAGCCAGCGUGAUUUGCUUGAACUGAACCUCAAGGAGAAAAACGGUGUGUAUCGAGUGAAGAAGAUACUUAGAUUUUGCGAGAAAAUAUCUUCAAUAAUAAAAUGGUGUAUUUUGUUAGCGUUCACUCCUUAUCUCAACAACUGUCAUUGAUAAGAGUUUAUAAAAUUUAAUCAAAAUAUUGUGAAAUCCUAUUAAUUCAUAUCUUUGAGACUCAAAUCAUACGUGAUAAGCUUAUGUAUGUAUUAAAACAAAGUUUACAUUAAUUUAAAAUAUAGUUUUUCUUGGGA